AAUAGAUACCCUGGUAGUCCACGCCGUAAACGACUGGAUGCUAGCUAGUUAGAAGUAUCGGACCCUUCUAGUAGCGAAGCUAACGCGUUAAGCAUCCCGCCUGUGGAGUACGGUCGCAAGACUAAAACAUAAAGGAAUUGACGGGGACCCGCACAAGCGGUGGAGCGUGUUGUUUAAUUCGAUGAUAAGCGAAGAACCUUACCCAGACUUGACAUCCUUGGAAGGCAUCCGAAAGGAUACUGUGCCCUCGGGAACCAAGUGACAGGUGUUGCAUGGCCGUCGUCAGCUCGUGUCGUGAGAUGUUUGGUUAAGUCCAUUAACGAGCGCAACCCUUUUAGUUAGUUGUAUUUUUCUAGCUAGACUGCCCCGGUAACGGGGAGGAAGGAGGGGAUGAUGUCAGGUCAGUAUUACCCUUACGUCUGGGGCUACAAACACGCUACAAUGGCCGGUACAAAGGGCUGCCAACCCGCGAGGGGGAGCAAAUCUCAUCAAAGCCGGUCUCAGUUCGGAUAGCAGGCUGAAACUCGCCUGCUUGAAGUCGGAAUCG
rnacentral:rRNA from 1 species